AUUCCAGCUCCAAUAGCGUAUAUUAAAGUUGUUGCGGUUAAAAAGCUCGUAGUUGGAUUUCUGCCGAGGAUGACCGGUCCGCCCUGUGGGUGUGCAUCUGGCUCAGCCUUGGCAUCUUCCUGAAGAACGUAGCUGCACUUGACUGUGUGGUGCGGUAUUUAGGACAUUUACUUUGAGGAAAUUAGAGUGUUUCAAGCAAGCGCACGCUUUGAAUACAUUAGCAUGGAAUAAUAAGAUAGGACCUCGGUUCUAUUUUGUUGGUUUCUAGUACUGAAGUAUGAUUGAUAGGGAUAGUUGGGGGUGCUAGUAUUGGCCGGCCAGAGGUGAAAUUCUUGGAUUCGGUCAAGACUAACUUAUGCGAAAGCAUUCACCAAGGAUGUCUUCAUCA
rnacentral:rRNA from 1 species